rnacentral:rRNA from 1 species
GAUGAACGCUAGCUACAGGCUUAACACAUGCAAGUCGAGGGGAAACGAUAUUGGAAGCUUGCUUCUGAUAGGCGUCGACCGGCGCACGGGUGAGUAACGCGUAUCCAACCUGCCCAUCACUUGGGGAUAACCUUGUGAAAGUAAGACUAAUACCCAAUGACGUCUCUAGAAGACAUCUGAAAGAGAUUAAAGAUUUAUCGGUGAUGGAUGGGGAUGCGUCUGAUUAGCUUGUUGGCGGGGUAACGGCCCACCAAGGCGACGAUCAGUAGGGGUUCUGAGAGGAAGGUCCCCCACAUUGGAACUGAGACACGGUCCAAACUCCUACGGGAGGCAGCAGUGAGGAAUAUUGGUCAAUGGACGAGAGUCUGAACCAGCCAAGUAGCGUGCAGGAUGACGGCCCUAUGGGUUGUAAACUGCUUUUAUAAGGGAAUAAAGUGAGUCUCGUGAGACUUUUUGCAUGUACCUUAUGAAUAAGGACCGGCUAAUUCCGUGCCAG